rnacentral:rRNA from 1 species
CUACGGGUUGCUGCAGUGGGGAAUAUUGGACAAUGGGGGCAACCCUGAUGCAGCAACGCCGCGUGGAGGAUGACGCAUUUCGGUGUGUAAACUCCUUUUAUAUGUCAAGAAAAUGACGGUAGCAUAUGAAUAAGCACCGGCUAACUCCGUGCCAGCAGCCGCGGUAAUACGGAGGGUGCAAGCGUUACUCGGAAUCACUGGGCGUAAAGGACGCGUAGGCGGGCUUGUAAGUCAGGUGUGAAAUCCUACAGCUUAACUGCAGAACUGCACUUGAAACUACGAGCCUAGAGUAUGGGAGGGGCAGAUGGAAUUAGUGGUGUAGGGGUAAAAUCCGUAGAUAUCACUAGGAAUACCUAAAGCGAAGGCGAUCUGUUGGAACAUAACUGACGCUAAGGCGUGAAAGCGUGGGGAGCAAACAGGAUUAGAUACCCCCGUAGUC